CUCUUGUGUGGCUUCCUUUUUAGUGCCCCAGGGAACAAAUGUGCCCAAUCGGGGGACUCCUGAGGAAGCAUCUCCUGAGGGGGCGUCUCCUGAGGAGGCGUCCGCUGCAAGGGUGAGUCCUCAUAGUCCACCAUAGGAGCCCCAGAAAGUGUGGGCCCCCGUGGUGAAAAUUCACCCUGUGGUGCCGUCUCAUCUGCCGUCUCAGGCUGGAGAGGGGACCAGUCGGGGGUCGCGGAAGAGUAACGAGGGGACAUCACCGAAGAAAGCCCCCGCUCCUGUUCUUCAUCCCGAAAGUCGAUCAGGAGAGGCGAGGAGGCCGUGGGUCCCCCUGGUGAUCCCAGAGGAAGCCUCCUGCGAGAUGCAGGAAUAAGCUGGGUGGGCGGAGCCUCGCCGAGGGUGUCCUGGGCAGGCCCGCUGUCCGUGGCCCGGGGCUGUGUCACCCUCUGCUCCUUGGGUGGUUCCGGUCGACGAGGAAGGAAGAUCGGGGCAACCCGUGCUGGAGGGAUUGCUUCCCGAUCCACCUCAGGAGACCAAUCUGGAGCCACGGCGUCGGUGCUGGUAGCCACCGAGACCCGGGCGACGACCCGAGCCGGAGGGCUGCUAGCCCGUACCACCCCAGGAGCCCCGUCAGGGCCCGUAGGGUCAGUAUGGGUGCCCACCGAUACCCGGGUGGCGGUCUGGACCGGCAAGGACUGGGCCGGGCGUACCACCUCAGCGUUGACAGGGGGGUCGGCGAAGGCCGCGACGAUCAGAGCCUCGGCCUUCCCGAGGGUGUCCCCCAUCAGUCUGCGUCCCAGAUGUUUCUUGGCCCAUGUAGAGGCCAGCUGAAAAGCGGGUCUCCAGACCUCAUCAAUAAAACUGGUUAUCUUGUCCAA